rnacentral:lncRNA from 1 species
AUAGAGAACGUCGUCUAAAAACGUACGACACGACAUUCGUAUAUAUACCAAUAGAUGUAACGGAAUUUAAUGGUUGGUUCUGAAAUCACUCUUAUUGGGAGUUUGUUUGUUUUGUUUGUUUUUUGUUUUCGACGACUCAUUGGCACAUGUGGAACAGAAUCUGAUCAACUGUUCAAAGUACCAUAGACUGCCGGAAGGGGUUCAUGUAGUUCAGUCUUUCAACUUCGAUGUUUUGUAAACUGUUGUUUGUAUUAUUUAUCAUUUUCUUUUCUCUUCUUAUUGCUAAUGCGUAGUCAAUUAACUAUUUAUAGGUUUGAAUACACUUUGGUAUCUUUAAAUUAUCUUUUAACCAGUUUGUAGUAAGAUAUGCGAAAGUUAUGAAACCAAAAUAAAAAAAAUCUCUCA